GUGGGGAAUCUUGCGCAAUGGGCGAAAGCCUGACGCAGCCAUGCCGCGUGAAUGAUGAAGGUCUUAGGAUUGUAAAAUUCUUUCACCGGGGACGAUAAUGACGGUACCCGGAGAAGAAGCUCCGGCUAACUUCGUGCCAGCAGCCGCGGUAAUACGAAGGGGGCUAGCGUUGCUCGGAAUUACUGGACGUAAAGGGCGCGUAGGCGGACAGCUUAGUCAGAGGUGAAAGCCCAGGGCUCAACCUUGGAAUUGCCUUUGAUACUGGCUGUCUUGAGUUUGGGAGAGGUGAGUGGAACUCCGAGUGUAGAGGUGAAAUUCGUAGAUAUUCGGAAGAACACCAGUGGCGAAGGCGACUCACUGGCCCAAUACUGACGCUGAGGCGCGAAAGCGUGGGGAGCAAACAGGAUUAGAUACCCCAGUAGUCC
rnacentral:rRNA from 1 species